rnacentral:rRNA from 1 species
AGAGUUUGAUCCUGGCUCAGAGUGAACGCUGGCGGCGUGCCUAACACAUGCAAGUCGAACGAGAACGGCUCUAGCUUGCUAGAGUGUCAGCUAAGUGGCGCACGGGUGAGUAAUAUAUAGUUAACCUGCCUCUAAGAAGGGAAUAAUUGUUGGAAACGACUUGUAACUCCCUAUAUGCCUUUAUCACAUAAGUGAGCAAGGGAAACAUUUAUGGCUUAGAGAUGGGACUGUAGAGUAUCAGAUAGUUGGUGGGGUAAUGGCUCACCAAGUCAAUGACGCUUAACUGGUUUGAGAGGAUGAUCAGUCACACUGGAACUGAGACACGGUCCAGACUCCUACGGGAGGCAGCAGUGGGGAAUAUUGCACAAUGGAGGAAACUCUGAUGCAGCAACGCCGCGUGGAGGAUGACACAUUUCGGUGCGUAAACUCCUUUUAUAUGAGAAGAUAAUGACGGUAUCAUAUGAAUAAGCACCGGCUAACUCCGUGCCAGCAGCCGCGGUAAUACGGGGGGUGCAAGCGUUACUCGGAAUCACUGGGCGUAAAGAGCAUGUAGGCGGAUAGAUAAGUUGGAAGUGAAAUCCACUGGCUUAACCAGUGAACUGCUUCCAAAACUCUCUAUCUAGAAUAUGGGAGAGGUAGAUGGAAUUUCUGGUGUAGGGGUAAAAUCCGUAGAGAUCAGAAGGAAUACCGAUUGCGAAGGCGAUCUACUGGAACAUUAUUGACGCUCAGAUGCGAAAGCGUGGGGAGCAAACAGGAUUAGAUACCCUGGUAGUCCACGCCCUAAACGAUGCACACUAGUUGUUGCCUUGCUAGACAAGGCAGUAAUGCAGUUAACACAGUAAGUGUGCCGCCUGGGGAGUACGGUCGCAAGAUUAAAACUCAAAGGAAUAGACGGGGACCCGCACAAGCGGUGGAGCAUGU